ensembl:lincRNA Gm17435 predicted gene, 17435
ACUUGAGGCCGUGGAAGUCGCGUGCCUGGGGCUAAGAUCUUUUAGAAGAAAAGAAACCGAUUGCGGUAAACCGGAUCCUCGGAAGCUGUGCGCUAACCAAAAUCCCCGACGCUGGCAGUUGCCAUUGUUCCCCAGAGGCAUCCACACUAAUGGGACCCAAGUAUUGUGUAACUUCAUUUUACAGUGAGGAAACUCGGUCUAUGCAGAAUAGGAAACUCCAUAUGGACCACAGAAGGCAAAAGCCUGCUGCUUUCCUGUGUAGGGUGGAGUAUACUAAGUUAGCAUCCUGUGAUGUACUUGCCCCAGCCAGCAACAGCAGAGAAGCACACAGGUAACACAGCUCCUUGAAGUUGGCCCCUCCAGUGUUGUGUCAUUUGCCUUUCUUUUCUCAAGGGUUGUUGAAGAACCAAGACCAGGUACAUUUCAGCAGUUUCAUGCCCAAUGGUAUCCUGAAGCGGACAUAUACAAUGAUGGCCUGAGAGUCAUCUAGCCAGCACUCCCAGGCACUGCCUGCCAGUAGCCCCAACCAUAUCUGUGCAGCACAGUCCUCAGGACCUACACCAACAUCCUUGAAAAAAAAAAAAAAACAACAGUGUCUUUGUGGGUUUUAGGGUUUUUUGUUUUGUUUUGUUUUGUUUUGUUGUUUUUUACAUGAAGAAUAGUCUAGACAAAAAUUUACAAAGCUCACUGAACUUAAAAGACUCUGGAAGUGUUGAUCAGCAAGAAAGCAGUGCUUUCAAACCAAAACAUGCCACAGAUGGCACCAAAAAGCAGGCAAUCUGUGAGCCUUCAGUGUGCUGUGCACUUCCUACUGACAUUGUUUAGGACACCCAGGAACAGAAUGAGUGCUACAGGGCAUGCUCUGGAAGAAACAGUCUCUUCGUCUUCCUUGCCUAAUGCCUCGAUAAACCAGGGAGCCUGGUGGGGUUCCCAGUGUCAUUAGCCAUGUGAAUCAUGUGGUCUCCUGGUAUGCCUGGUUAAGGUAGCUUCAAAGUCAGGGUGGCCAAGUUUCCCACUCACAGCUUUCUCAGAGAAAGGACAGUGGGGCAGAUCCCACAACCACUGUCACCACUUAUAAAAAGCAUUUCUCUUAUAAAUGGGACCCACCUGCCCUUUAAAGAAUAUCCAGCACCUAAUUAGCCUGUCACAAGCCAAGAGUCUCUGCCUACCCUAAAACAAGCCAAGAGCUCUGAUAAGCAGAGCACGCCACAACCUGAGCAAGGAGAUGAGAAACCCAGCCUGGGUACAAGCAGCAUGCAGACUACUCACUGUACCCAUAAAGCACCCCAGAGCAUGGAGCUGCAGCAGAAACUGACAUCUGCGUGCACAGAUAACCUCUUCAGCAACACAAGCUACCUGAGAGCAAAGAGAAUGGCUCCAUACAAUACCCACACACUGUCCUUUUGCUUUUGGUCAGGAGCAGAGAAGCAAAAUACUCCACACACUCUGUCCAGUGCACAGGCCCUUCUUGAGUGCAUGGAGCUCCCAUGAGUGUCAUCUGUGAGUUUGCCACUGCUCCACCCAUGUAACUAGAAAACUUGUAAGCCAGACACAACUUCCCAUUUCUACCAUCAACCCUCACAGGAGGGUUUUGGUGACCAAGUGUCUGAGGAUAGCAAGUUGAGUGGGAGUCUUCCACCUGGCCUCUCUUUGAUAGAAGAGUUGCUAAGAACACCAGCUGCAGGAGACUGGAAAUGACCCAACACCAGGGGAGGAAACACUACUUGGUCCACACCUUGUGCAGAAGGCAGAUCUCAAACAAGAGCAAGCCAGCUUUCCAGGAACUGUUAAGAAGCAGGCUCCAGAGCCAGCUGAACACAGGCAGUGAAGCUGUGUGUAUACUCAGGCUGUUAAAAAGAACAGAUGGUGGGAGCCACCUGGUAUCCUGCACUAGCCCAAAGCACAACCAGGUGCCUGCCUGAGCACAGUUCCUCUCCCAGGAGCCUGGGAAACCACAGACAACAUAUUGUGCACUAACCAGGCCAUACAGAAACACCCACAGGAACCCACCCUGGCUUCUAGGACAGCUCCAUGAUAUGGAAAGUCCCUACAUGCCUGCCUAUGUAUACAUCAUACACAUGAAUGAGUAAAAACAUAUUAUUUAUAUAAAUAGCUUUUACAGCUUAUCCUGCUGCCCUCAGACACUUGGUCACCAUAACCCCAUCUGCCUGAGACCAACGGCAUAGAACUCACUACAUAAUUCACCUAGAACUGUCUUCCACAUCUGUUGGGAUCAGAGCAGCUGAAGGUGACCAAAGCACUUUGGAGGCAUCACACAAGGACAGCUCCCUGUCACCUAGUAGAAACAAGAUGCAUUAUCUGGGGACACACACCAGGGUGCCAGCUACCCUGGCUCAUGACCAACCUCAUCUGCUCCCUGUGCAGUUGGCACAUACCUGUCUCCAUAAUGUUAGUGUCAUCAGUAAGAUGAGGACACUUGUGUGAACAAGCAAGGAAAGAAAGCAGUAGAGAGGAGAGGAGAUGGGGCAGGUAGGUGGCUAUCAUCUGAAAAGCAGGGUAAGUAGGUAGAGUAAGGCCAAAAGGGAAAGCCCAAACCACAGUUAACAGAUAAAGCAUGGACAGCUAGCCCUGGAGAACUCCAGUCACUGAAAGGGGCAGUCAGUUCUACUCAGCUCUGGACAGGAGGUUCUGGCCAAUGUAAGUGGGCAAGAAAAAGACAGAAGAGGUCUUCCGAACAGGAAUGAGGAAUGAGUGCCCACACCCUGCGUUCAGGUUAGUUCUUGGGAAGCACUUAGGGCAUCUGAGCAUAGCUACAGGACAGAGCAUUUCCACCACAGGUUCACAAGCUAAAGACUCCAAGUCAAUCCCCUAUAAAUAUGGAAGGCCCAAGAGAUGACUCAGCGAGUAAAGGUGUGCACAACCAAGCCUGACAGCCCAAGUUUAAUCCCAUAUCCCCAGGUGGUCCCAUGACCUCCACUCAUGUGCACACGCACAAA